UACGUAGGCAGCAAGCGUUGUUCGGAGUUACUGGGCGUAAAGGGUGCGUAGGCGGCGCGGUAAGUCGGGUGUGAAAUCUCGGAGCUUAACUCCGAAACUGCAUUCGAUACUGCCGUGCUUGAGGACUGGAGAGGAGACUGGAAUUUACGGUGUAGCGGUGAAAUGCGUAGAUAUCGUAAGGAAGACCAGUGGCGAAGGCGGGUCUCUGGACAGUUCCUGACACUGAGGCACGAAGGCCAGGGGAGCAAACGGG
rnacentral:rRNA from 1 species